AGUAGUGAAAGAAAGAAAAACUUGAAAGCUCUUCACAUGGAGAGCUUGACGGAGGAGCUCUUUCCCUACAGAAUCUUAGGCGAAGAAAGCGGAAGCAAUUCUGGUUCUAAUGAGAGUGGCAAUCCAACCGACGCUGUCAUUUUUGUCGCUAUAAGUUUGGUGCUUGGAAUUGCUUCCCGGCAUUUAUUGCGUGGAACCAGAGUUCCUUACACCGUCGCUCUUCUCGUAAUCGGAAUUGCUCUCGGCUCUCUAGAGUAUGGAACAAGUCAUAGACUGGGGAAGAUUGGCGAUGGAAUUCGUCUUUGGUCAACUAUUGAUCCUGACCUUCUAUUGGCUGUUUUUCUUCCUGCUCUUCUUUUUGAGAGUUCAUUCGCCAUGGAGUUGCACCAAAUAAAGAGGUGUAUGGCACAAAUGCUUCUUCUAGCAGGUCCAGGAGUUCUGAUCUCAACCUUUCUUCUUGGAUCUGCUUUGAAGUUCACUUUUCCAUAUAACUGGAGCUGGAAAACAUCAUUGUUGCUUGGGGGACUUUUGAGUGCUACCGAUCCUGUGGCUGUUGUUGCUCUACUGAAAGAGCUUGGUGCUAGCAAAAAACUGAGUACAAUAAUUGAAGGAGAAUCCUUGAUGAAUGAUGGGACAGCGAUUGUGGUUUAUCAACUAUUCUAUCAAAUGGUCCUUGGAAAGAGCUUUACUUGGGAUGCCAUAGUCAAAUUUCUGGCUCAGGUCUCACUUGGAGCCCAUGGGUCUUGCUUUCGGGUUUGUAUCUGUUUUGUGGCUUGGAUUUAUCUUCAAUGACACAGUGAUAGAGAUUACAUUGACACUUGCUGUGAGCUACAUUGCUUACUUCACUGCUCAGGAAGGUGCUGAAAUUUCUGGUGUGCUGACAGUAAUGACUCUAGGAAUGUUUUAUGCUGCAUUUGCCAGGACAGCUUUCAAGGGUGAAAGUCAACAAAGCUUGCAUUACUUUUG